GGCUCCAGGAGCCAAUCAGAAGCCAUGGGGGCAAAGGGAGCAGGGCCGGGAACGGAGCCUUCUCUCGGAAGGAAGAAACGGCAGCGCAGCAGCAGCCACGGAGGCUGGGGAACAGGCAAGGCAAGGCCAGGCCAGCAAGCACUUUCCCUCCCUCCCUCCCUCCGGUAUGCGCCUAGAGAGACUUUGCUGGCUUCUCCUCUACCAUAAGGUGAGUCCAUUAAGGGAAGAAAAUGUCAACUGGAAAACCCACAUUCUUUCAACAGAAAGUCUGAGUCUGUUUAGGGAUUUCCAAGUUGCCCAUUCUUGAUUUGCCCCCGGAGGAAGACCCUCUUGGGGGGCCAUCCAGUUAGAAUUGCCAGGUUUAGCUGCCCAGAGGGACACCCUUGCUGUUGCUGGAGGAACAUCAAGAGGAGUGGUGGUUCUCAUGAAGCCCUUCCUUGAUUUGAGUCUAGUGGGAGGAGGCUGAUAGUCAUGCAGUGGGUGGCUUUCACAAUGUUUGACCUUAUUUCUCUCACAGUUAGCAGCAACUUCCCAUAGAAAGAGCCUCCUCGAAGACUGAGUGAAUCCAGUCAGGCAUCCCCCGGGCAACGUUUCUUGUAAACAGCUAAUCUUUCCAACCCAAAAGCAUUGCUAUUAAACUUUUAACCUUUUGAGCUGAGACUCUGUGUCAGACAUCCUGUCAGGUCUAAAAAUAAAUAACCGGUGUUCCUGCUGCCUUCAACUCAGUUUGUGUGUCUUCAUCUGUCUGGCAAAGUAGUGGUGUGCAUCAGGCACUAGAUCCUCAGCUUACUCCUUGGCGGGUAGCUGAAUUUCGGCUUCAAAACUGCUAGCUGGAGUUGUUGGGGACUGCAGAGCAAGACUAUAACUCUCACCUGGAUAACUAUGUGCAGAAAUCCUUUUCCCAAUGUGACACAAGCUUCACCAAGUGGAACUUUAUAUUUUCUUGUAUAUUUUAGAGGAUACUCUUUUAUUUAUUCCUAAUACACAAUUAACAUGACUUAAAACAAGGCCACCAAGUAAUAUUCCUACUGAAGAGAGUUUUGAAGUAAUCUAAAGAAGAGACUAUGGCCUAAACAAUUUAUUACAAAUCUGUAUAUGUU
rnacentral:lncRNA from 11 species